GAUAAAGGCCACACAGACUGCACGCUAUGAGAGACAGGAAAAGAGAAAACGGCAAAGGACUGACAGUACACCUGCGAGGAUGAGACAGCUAUUGAUGACCUUGUUCCGCCCGUGGAGACACCAGCACCAGCUGAGGAUGGAGCUGAGCAGACACUGCUGACAGAAUGUGACUUCUGUCAGCGCCGGCGUGCUGAAAUCAACCGGCUGCUGGAGGAGAACAGGACCCUGAAAUGUGAGCUUGGCCAGAGAAAAAUGGAUGAAGAUUUCCUGAAGGAAGACGCCGUCAAAGUGAAAUACUACACUGGACUUCCACACCUUAAAGUCAACCACUUUAUUCUGGUGUUUAUGAAUUACUGUAUUAAAGAAAAGAUUGAUGCUCAA